GAUGAACGCUGGCGGCGUGCCUAACACAUGCAAGUCGAGCGAACGGACGAGAAGCUUGCUUUCUUGAUGUUAGCGGCGGACGGGUGAGUAACAAGUGGAUAACCUACUUAUAAGACUGGGAUAACUUCGGGAAAACGGAGACACUACUGGAUAAUAUUUUGAACCGCAUGGAUCAAAAGUGAAAGACGGUCUUGCUGUCACUUAUAGAUGGAUCCGCGCUGCAUUAGCUAGUUGGUAAGGUAACGGCUUACCAAGGCAACGAUGCAUAGCCGACCUGAGAGGGUGAUCGGCCACACUGGAACUGAGACACGGUCCAGACUCCUACGGGGGGCAGCAGUAGGGAAUCUUCCGCAAUGGGCGAAAGCCUGACGGAGCAACGCCGCGUUAGUGAUGAAGGUCUUCGGAUCGUAAAACUCUGUUAUUAGGGAAGAACAUAUGUGUGAGUAACUGUGCACAUCUUGACGGUACCUAAUCAGAAAGCCACGGCUAACUACGUG
rnacentral:rRNA from 1 species